UCUCCUGCCUGCAAACAGGGCAUCAGGAAACAUAAACACCUACCAGAUAAAAGCAAAACCUAACCCCAGAGAAACAAGCCUGGAUAUUUACCUCCACAGAUCUAACUCCGGAUUAGAUCCAUGAAACUCACAUUGGAGCCUACCAGCAGCUACUGGUGUUCAUGAUAUUGUGUGAGAAGGACCCUACAAUUUUAAGAACUGCCUUCACAGACAGCCUAAAAAUCAGGCAGGAAAUCAGACACAAGGAAGGAUAUGGGACAGCAAGAUAAUGUUAUUUUAUUGUAAGAAGAAUAGGAAUCUUUAUACAAUGGGACAUACUGGAGAAUGUCAGGAGCUUUCAUGUGUGGGUGCUUAAAAGAAAGCAUCAUCCAGACUGGAGUGGAAAAGAAAAAAUUGACAGGCUGGAAACACACUUACAAAUACACACACAAAUUGACUGAGGCACCUUAAACUAUAAGGAUUGGACGAGUCUUGAGCUCUGAAGCUGCACAAUCGUAGCUGGCCAUAUGUACCUUUAGUGUGUUCCACCCACGAAGCAAAAUGAAUUGGCUCAAACCACAUGAAACUUCAGAUGUAAGGUCCAAAAUUUGAGGUGAACAGAAUUCUUCAAAGAAGAAUCAUAAGUUAUAUAUUCUGCAUUUUGUUUAACAUCUUAUAAGAUGUAUAUCCACCCCCUUCUCCUUCAAAUAAAACAUUUCUGGUUCUUUGUACAUUGAAUU